rnacentral:rRNA from 1 species
AGUGAACGCUUGCGGCAUGCCUAACACAUGCAAGUCGAACUGCAGCACAGUAAUAGCUUGCUCUUACGGGCGGCCAGUAGCGGACGGGUGAGGAAAACAUCGGACUCUACUUUUUUGUUGGGGCUAACGUAGGGAAACUUCCGUUAAUACCCUAUACCACCUACGGGUGAAAUCAGGGGCUCUUCGGAUCUUGCGCGAUUGCAUGAGCCGAUGUCGGAUUAGCUAGUUGGCGGGGUAAAGGCCCACCAAGGCGACGCUCCGUAGCUGGUCUGAGAGGAUGAUCAGCCACACUGGAGCUGAGACACGGUCCAGAGGCCUGAGGGAGGCAGCAGUGGGGAAUAGGGGACAAUAGGCGCGAACAUGAUACAGCCAGACAGCGUGGGUGAAGAAGGCGUUGGGGUUGUAAAGACCUCUUGUGGGGAAAGAAAAGCAGCAGGCUGAGACCACGCUGUUAGGACGGUACCCAAAGAAUAAGCACCGGGUAAGUUCGGG